GUCACAAAAUUCCUCCGAAACAUAAAUAUUGGACGGUACACCAGACAAAAUCAACCAACACCAUUCAAUAAAUAUUGGACGGUACACCAGACAAAACCAACCAACAUCAGUCAAUUCCUCCGAAACAUAAAUAUUGGACGGUACACCAGACAAAACCAACCAACGUCAUUAAAUUCCUCCGAAACAUAAAUAUUGGACGGUACACCAGACAAAACCAACCAACGUCAUAAAAUUCCUCCGAAAC
rnacentral:lncRNA from 1 species